GCCAGUGUAGUGCAGUGAUUUGAGUAUUUGACUGUGACUCUAGAGACCAGGGUUCGAAUCCCCAGUCAGCCA